GACGAACGCUGGCGGCGUGCUUAACACCUGCAAGUCGAACGGAAAGGCCCUGCUUUUCUGGGGUGCUCGAGUGGCGAACGGGUGAGUAACACGUGAGUAACCUGCCCUUGACUUUGGGAUAACUUCAGGAAACUGGGGCUAAUACCGGAUAGGAGCUCCUGCUGCAUGGUGGGGGUUGGAAAGUUUCGGCGGUUGGGGAUGGACUCGCGGCUUAUCAGCUUGUUGGUGGGGUAGUGGCUUACCAAGGCUUUGACGGGUAGCCGGCCUGAGAGGGUGACCGGCCACAUUGGGACUGAGAUACGGCCCAGACUCCUACGGGAGGCAGCAGUGGGGAAUAUUGCACAAUGGGCGGAAGCCUGAUGCAGCAACGCCGCGUGCGGGAUGACGGCCUUCGGGUUGUAAACCGCUUUCGCCUGUGACGAAGCGUGAGUGACGGUAAUGGGUAAAGAAGCACCGGCUAACUACGUG
rnacentral:rRNA from 1 species